GUGUGUGUGAGGAGCAAAGUGAAAAGCGCUUGGGGUGGAAACACGGCAACACUCCCGAGCGCUUUUUGCU
rnacentral:sRNA from 1 species